ACUGAAGUGACAUAAUAUCACCCAACUCAUACAAUGCACCUUAAUAAGUGCCUCUCCACUUUUGAACACAAUAUAUACCACUCAACUUCUCCGAAGGUUCCUGCUGUUAAUAGUUAAUGUUCUCCAUCCUAUGUUUCUUCUUUUGAUUGGUCCAACCUAUAUAAUAUUAUAUAUGUUGAUAAUUGUUAAUAUAUGCUUUUAAUUAGUCAAAAGAGCUGGCUGCUAUGUACCUUUAUAUAUAACAUCAUCUCACCCAACCUCCCCUUUUACCUUAAGCCAGGGAUUCCUACAAAUUUUCUGUCUUUGCAACUUCCCUUAAUUAGUGAAUAAGCUAUUAGGGUGUGGGUGUUGGUGAUUUUGAUUGUUGUUUCUCAAAUCUCAACCAACAUAGCUACCAAUCCAUGGAUCCAAAUUAUCCAAUAGGCGGCAGUGAUGAUUUCAUGAACAGCUUCCAAAUUGGUGAAGAUGGCACCAUAGUAUUCUCUGAUGAUCAAAAUCAGUUUUAUUAUGAUGCCAACCAGCACCUUGAUCCUCUUUACCAGCAUGUUGCAGACCAACUUUUUGAUGAAUUUCCUCAGUACACAAGCCAUGUGGAAGAAGCUGCAGCUGCUCCUGUUGCCUCCACCGUGGUGGAUCCUUCCGUUGAGGACGCUGAUUUCUCAGAAACAGCAAAGUUUAUAACACAAGUUCUCAUGGAAGAGGGUGUUGAACAAAGGCCAUUCUAUGACCCUUUCAGCUUGAAUGCCACUGAGCAAUCCUUCUAUGAUGCUCUUAACGAUGUUCUCAUAGACAACAUCAACAUGCCACUCUCCCCCAAUGAACACCCUCUUGAUGUUCAUCAUCAAGGUGGAACAACCAGCAGCAGCAGCAGCGGCAGCAACAGUGGCAACAACAACGACAAUCAAAACAAUAACAACCCUGUUGAUGAGAACUCUAGCGAGUUUCUGAAGCCUUCUGUUUCUCCUGAUACCUUUAGCUCUGGUGAUCAUGCUUUUCAGUUUAACUCCCAUGCCAUUUCUCAACAUGACUCGAAUGUUUCCUAUGCUAAUUUUGGGGUGUAUGAUGUGGAUACUUCUUUUACCAAGCUGUUGGCUCAAAAUAUUUUCAGCGACUCAGAUUCUGUCUCCCAGUUCAGGAGAGGCUUAGAGGAAGCUAGCAAGUUUCUUCCUCCGGGACCUCAGCUUGUGACUGGUUUUGAGACCACACCGGCUGUCGUGGUGCCUAUAGACGAACCAAAGGGAGAUAAAGCCGUUGGGUUGAAGGGCAGAAAGAAUCAUGAACGUGAAGAAUGGAGUGAUGAUACAGAAGAAGGGAGGAGUAACAAGCAUUCGGCAACUAGCAGUGUAGUUGAUGAGAGUGAAUUAUCUGAAAUGUUUGAUAAAGUAUUGCUUAGUAUUGGUGCGCCAAUGUGCUUUCCAGUGAACAAUGAAGUAGAGAAAGCUUCUAAUCCCUCAACCUCUAAUGGAGGGAAGGGUCGUCCUAAGAGACAAGGGAAGAAGAAAGAAACCAUUGAUUUGAGGACCCUUUUGGUUCUGUGUGCACAAGCUGUGUCUGCUUGUGACAACAGGACUGCCACUGAGCUUCUCAAGCAAAUUAGGCAGCAUUCGACUCCCUCUGGGGAUGCAACGCAAAGAACGGCUCAUUACUUCGCCAAUGGCCUUGAAGCACGCUUGCAUGGUGAUGGCACUGGAACACAAGGAUUCUACACCUAUGUCAGCACCAAGAGGCUAAGUGCUGCUGAGUUUUUGAAAGCUUACAAGGUGUUCAUGAAUGCCUGCCCUUUUUCGAAGUUUGCAAAUUUCUUUGCAAACAAAAUGAUAAUGAAAGCAGCUCAAAAUGCAGAAACACUUCACAUCAUUGAUUUUGGUAUCUUAUAUGGUUUCCAGUGGCCAAUUCUGAUUAAGUUCCUCUCAGACAGAGAAACUGGACCCCUCAAGAAGCUGAAGAUCACAGGAAUAGAGUUUCCCCAACCUGGUUUCCGUCCUGCAGAAAGACUUAACGAGACUGGUCGUCGUCUUGCUAACUACUGCGAGCGUUUCAAGGUUCCCUUCGAGUAUAAUGCCAUAGCAUCAAGGAACUGGGAAACCAUCCAGGUUGAAGACCUUAAAAUUGAGAGCAAUGAGUUUCUUGCUGUGAACUGUCAUAAGAGGUUUGAGAAUUUGAUGGAUGAAACAAUUGAAGUGAACAGUCCUAGAGAUGCAGUGUUGCAGUUGAUCAGGAAGAUAAAUCCGGAUAUUUUUGUUCAGGCCAUUGUUAAUGGAUCUUAUAAUGCACCUUUCUUUGCCACACGAUUCAGGGAGGCACUGUUCCAUUUUUCUGCAAUUUAUGACAUGUGUGACGCUGUCAUCCCCCGUGACAAUGAGAAGAGAAUGAAGAUUGAGAGAGAGAUUAUAGGCCGGGAGGUUUUGAAUGUUGUGGCGUGCGAAGGUUUUGAAAGGAUUGAUAGGCCUGAGACAUACAAGCAAUGGCAGGCUAGGAAUACAAGGGCUGGUUUCAAGCAGCUACCCUUGAAUGAGGAACUAAUGGCCAAAUUUUCAGCCAAGUUAAAGGAAUGGUACCACAAAGACUUUGUCUUAGAUGAGGAUGGCAACUGGAUGCUUCAAGGUUGGAAGGGCCGCGUCUUAUACGCUUCCACUUGUUGGGUGCCUGCAUAGUGAGUUGCCACUGUCCUCUUGGUCUUGUUUCAGAACUCACCCUAGACUCUUAAGGUUUUGGUAAUCCUGGUUUGGUCUAUUAGCUUAACCUUGAGGUAUUGUGACUAUUAUUCAUCCAAGCUUUGCACAAAAAGCUACUCUGUAUAAUUAAUGGCUGCACUUCCUUUGUAGAAUUGAGACUCAUCAAUAUAAUGUAAUGAAGCUCUGUAAUGAUAUUUAAGGAGGGUAUAGCAGAGUCAGAAAGCCCUUUAAGCAUGUUAGAGCUAAAAUAUUUGCAAUGAGAACAUUCUGAGAUAUUCUCUCUCUGAUCAUUCGAUUAGGUACUUAGCAUUUUCUGGAAGAUAAAUUAUCUACUGAAUUGACAGCAUGUGAUUGGUUCUUGUUUGUUGGUUCCGUGUUUUGAAAGUCAGUUUUAAAUGCAGCAACUUGUCUGAAACUUUAAAUUAGAUACAACCGAAAACGGAGUUUGUGAACCUUAAUCACAUGCUGAUGAACAAUCUUUUGAUAUCUUCCUCUGAAGAGCUACUAAUGGAUUGAGUGUUGUCUAA